rnacentral:rRNA from 1 species
GACGAACGCUGGCGGCGUGCUUAACACAUGCAAGUCGAAGAUAGUGGCGUACGGGUGAGUAAUACGUGGGUAACCUGCCCUCCUUUUUGGGAUAAGCCUUGGAAACGGGGUCUAAUACCGAAUAAUGGGGGUUUGGCUCUCGGCCUAUCAGCUUGUUGGUGGGGUGAUGGGGUACCAAGGCGGUGACGGGUAGCCGGCGUGAGAGGCUAAUCGGCGACAUGGGGACGGAGAUACCGCCCAGAGUACUAAGGGAGGGAGCAGUGGGGGAUAUUGCAGAAUGGGUGAAAGACUGAUGCAGCGUGGCCGCGUAGGGUAUGAAGGCUGUAGGGGUGUAAACCUAUUGAGGUAUAGAGCGGGUAGGUGGCGAAGAAGCGCCGGCUAACUACGUGCCAGCAGCCGCGGUAAUAC